ensembl:snoRNA SNORD108 small nucleolar RNA, C/D box 108
GCUUGAUGAUGAGAUGAAUUGGAUGACACCUUCCAUUCCUGCAAAAGGAGUCUGGGGUC